ACUCUCGGAGUUAGGCUUAUCCUGAAGCACACAGCCAUGAGAAAAGGGCUAAGAACUGGAACAAAAUGGAUUUCUUUGGAGUAGAAAAGAGGGGGUGUACCAAUGAUCUGUCAAGUGAUGCGACACUAGAAUCAGGCUGGAAUUUGGCGUCUUACGGCUACAAAAGUGUUUCAUCAGUCUUCAGGUCUCUGUGCUGAUGUUAAUGCUGGUCAGCUGUGCCUGAAUUCCAACGGGAGGAAGGAAAGAUGAUGUGCAGAGACACAGGGAGAAGACGGCCAUCCACAAGCCAAGGCGAGAGGCCUGGACAGAUCUUUCCCUCACAGUCCUCGGAAAGAACCAAUCCUUUGAACUUCUUGAUUGUGGACUUCUAGGCUCCGGAAGUGUGAGGCAAUAAAUUUAUGUUAUUUGAGCCCCAGUUUUGUGGGUACCUUAUCUGGCAGGUCUAAGAAACGAACACAGACAUGCCAGUCUCAUGGCAGAGGGAAAAAAGUAUAUGCAUGGAAAUAUUCAGUGGUUUUUCAAGCUUCUGCUCAGAACUAGCUUACAUAAUUUCCCCUCGCUCUCCCCUGGCCAAACCUAACAAUGGGGUGACUCUGAUUGGAAUCUAGAGGAACCACAGAUGCAUAUGUCUGCUAAGUGCUGAGGAACAGGAAGGAUGGGGCCUGGAGAGAAAAACAAAGGCAAAUUUACCCCAGUUUUCAGGGGCUUCGGUAGAUGAAGCUCUGCUAGAGGAGAGACCUGUAAUAAACACAAUCUCCAACAUGAAGCGAGCUGGGUUUUCUCUAAAGCUGCAUCCAUCCCAAGUCAGCUCAACUCCUGAUUAGAACCAGGUGAUCGGCCCCUCACCUUAUUUGCCAGACAGAGGAAAGGCAAGCCCUGUCUGAAAAAAGGGGGGAUAAUUUUGACUUUAGUCUCUACUAUCCUUUUAUAGACAAUGUCUGAAAUAGAGACAGAGAGAGACAGAGAGACAGAGAGAGGGAGAGAGAGAUGAAAUGAAGUAGGAAGAUGUGACCAUAACCAAGAACAAAUAUAAUUAGGUAUUAGGUUUGGAGCUAGACAGUUUUGGCCCUACAGUUUUUUAGGCCGAUCAUUUUAGUCAUCUGUGUUAACUCAGUGUCCCCGCAGGCAACUGAGUUUGUGACCUACUACUCCCUCAUUAGAACAUGAAGCUUAUGUUCAAUAUAUAGGAAGAAUGGGAAAAUAAUAUAAAUUUAAAAUUCCAAAGUGUAAUUAUAUUUUUAAUCAUGUGCUUUGAAAUGAUCAGGACCAAAAGGAAACUGAAGAAAACUCUUUAGCAUCUUCAAUAGCUAUCCCAUGUAUUUAUCUGUUCAACAAGUAUACGCUAGGCAUUGUGCUAAGUGUUAGAAAUUUGGGAAUGAACAAGACAGACCCAGGUUAUGUUCCAGUGGAGUUUAGAGUGCAACAGGCAGAACCAUUAACUAAAUAAGGAAAAUGAAGGCAAAAGGCUAAGGUAACUACAACAACUACAAAAUAGAGUGCUAAGACCAAAAAUGGUGUUUAUGGUCCCCAGAAUGUAGUGAGGGUGGGAUUCCUCUGGAGGGCACUGCUCUGUCACGUGAGUGGGUAUGUGGGUCAUUGGCCACAGGGGAUAUGAUCCCUAUCUCUUCUUAUGAAACUGCUUUCACUUAGGAAGACUCACUCCCAGGAAAGAUGGGAUCCCUCCAAUCCCUCGUUGUUUCAGCUGGAGAAUCGCCUCAGAUUUCUGAAUAGAAAUACCUGAGAGCCCGGUGAGGACCUAUGCCUCUGCCCCUAUUCCCCAGAGUACCACUGCUCCUCAGUUCUUGGAUGUCGGAAGCCUUGACUAGCUUUAAUUCUCUGUUGUUUUUGGCCAAAGUGAGAGAGUUUCUACUAACAUAUCCUUAUUCUCUUUUCUGCCCUGGUGUCUAACAGUUUAUUCUGCUUAUUAUGCCCGUAUCUUUACUCCUCUAAACUUAACAGUACUGAUAAUAAUGGCACCAGAUGACCCAGGUAGAGCAUUUACCACAUACAGGCACUGCUCUAAGGAGUUUCCAUAUGUUAAUUCAUUUUAUCCUCACAACACCUGGGUGUAAUGCUCCUUUAUUAUUAAUUUAUUAUCAUAUAACACUAUUAUUUAUUUUAUAUUCUCAUCAUUAUUGAUCUAUUCUGGCCUUCAAGACCUUAUGUUUCCUUUAAUAUCCACAUAACCCAUUUCCUCAGAGCUUAACCUUUCCCCUGAGGAUUAUUUUUCUUCCUCCAGUUUAAUUAGUCUGUCUUUCUUGAUUUAUUUUCAUGUUUCUACUGCUUCUGUUCCGAGAUGAAGGCUGAACCAAUUUUUUAAAAAGCCACUGUCAAGUCUUCCUUGACUUCUGAGCAAACUUGAUUCCUAGAGGCAGAAUGUUUCAAGCACAGGCCUUUUAAAUUACCUUUUUUCUUGGUUCUGCAAUAUUUCAGUUGAGCCUAAGAAGUUAGCAUUUGUUUCUAUACUAAAGGCCCUAUUUAUUUUUAUUUUUAUUUUUUUGGUGAAAUAAACCACUCUUCUG